rnacentral:lncRNA from 10 species
GGCCCCGCCCCACGCCACGCCACGGCCCGCCGGGCCCCGCAGGGAGUUCGAAGGCUUCGAGGCUGCUCCCAUACGCACUGGUGGAAGGAGAGGCCGCGCUCCCGGCUGAGCACGGUGUCACGGGUGCUGCAGCCCACUGCGGAGCAACUUCGGGUCAUCUUCUUGUUACGUGGGGCCCCACCUUCGGGGUUCCCGCGACAGCAUGAAUCACGACCACUUUAGCUCCGCCCGUUGACUCUGCGGCUACGACCUUUAUUUGUCACGAAAGGCGGGCUUUAGAGGCGCGGGACUUCCACACUUCCUCUCCGAAGGCCCUGCGCCGGUGCCGUAGCCAAUGACAGGCCACGUUGUGUCCCAGCAGCCAAUCGGAAGGGCCUGAGCCUGAAGACGUGCAUUUGACCGCUCCUCCCUCCGCGUUGGAGGCGGAAUAGUGGGUUUUGCUGCAACCGGUUUAUUUUCCUUCUGUUUUCACCCAUUCUGGCACAAUCUGGCGCCAUCGUCCUUCUUGUGAGGCCAAGCCUGAAAAUGCGAAGCAGAGAGGCAGGACCAAAAUUGAGGCGAAUCCAGGAACCUGCCAAUGGGUCUCCGGGUGCGGUCUCUGAAACUGGAGGAUAUCGGGAGGAAAGGCUCUCCGAUGCGGAGAUAAUGGGGAAGCUCUUGGCAUGGUUGGCUGUAGGUAUGUGAUACCGGAGGAGCAGGAGUCAAAUAGGAUACGCCGACUUUUAAUUCAAGGAACCCUUUUCUGAAACACUUUGCCACAAUGAAGGAAAUAAGGAAUUGUACUCUCAGAGAUGUUGAGAAAAGAUACAUGGGUCUUGGAAGAUAAUUACUCAAAAUAUGCAGGGAAGGAAUAAAAUUGAAGGGUGUUUUUCUUAGAGAACAUCAUUUGUCAUAUUUAUUUGAUCAAGAAGUUGAAGAUUUAUAUAAUAAGGAUCUAGUUUGAAGCACUAAGAAGAAUAAGACAUCAGUUUGAAAAGAGGCUCUAUCAGAACAACACGAAUUCUGCUAAAAUUGAAGCAAGAACAAACAUCAAAUAUAUGUUGACACUUGGGUGGAAGAAUGGUGAACUAAUUGAUGCUUUAUGAAAAGUUGAUAGGGACAGUGCUCCAAAGAAAUCAGUUUACAAAUGGAUAACUCGUUUUAAGAAGGCAUAAGGUAAUGUUGAAGAAGAAGCCCACAGUGGCAGAUCAUCCACAUCAGUUUGUGAGAAAAAAGUUAGUUCAUGGCGUAAUUGAAGAAAACCAACAAUUAACAGCAGAAACAACAGCCAACACCAUAGACAUCUCAGUUGGUUCACCUUACACAAUUUUGACUGGAAAAGUUCAGCAAACUUUAUACCUGAUAGGUACCAAAACCAUUGCACCCAGAUCAGCUACAGACAAGAAUAGAGCUUUCAAUGGAAAUUUUAAAUAAGUGGGAUCAGGAUCUUGAAGCCUUUCAUUGAAAAAUUGUAACAGGAGAUGAAACAUGGCUUUACCAGCGCAAUCCUGAAGACAAAACACAAAGCAGUGGUUACCAAGAUAAGUAGUUCAGUUAAAGCACAAGAGGACUGGUUGAGAGCAAAGGUCAUGGCAACAGCUUUUGAAUGCUCAAGGCAUUUUGCUUGUUGACUUUCUGUAGGGCCAAAGAAUGGUAACGUGCUUAUCAUGGGAGUGUUUUGAGAAACUUAGCCAAAGCUUCAGCAGAAAAAUCCCCGAGAAAGACCAGAGAGUUCUUCACCACAACAAUGUUCCUGCUCAUCCCUCUCAUCAAACAAGGCCAUUUUGCAAGAGUUUUGAUGGGAAAUCACUAGGCAUCCACCCUACAGUCCUGGUUUGGCACCUUCUGACUUUUUGUUUCCUAAUCUUAAAAAAAUUUUUCAGGGCAGUACAUUUUUCUCAAGUUAAUGUAUAAAGAAACUGCAUUGAUGUAGAUAAAUUCCCAGAACUCUCAGUUCUUUAGGGAUGGACUAAAUAGCUGGUAUCAUCACUUACAAAAGUGUCUUGAAUGCUAUAGAGCUAAUGUUCAAAAAUAUAGUUUAUAUUUUUUAUCUUUUAACCAUUUUUCCACAAACUUUUUGAAGUCUCCUUGAAUAUGUACCAUUUAUAAAGGGGAAAAAUUCUGUGACUACUCAUGUUGACUUAAUGCUGACUUAAUUUUCUGUUUUGUAAAUAUAUACAAACAAGUUGAUACAAAUUUUGUUUAUAGCCCUUAAACAAAUUUGUGAAAUAAAUGCAUUCAGAAACAAACUAAAACAAUGAAAUGGAUGCUACUGUUUUACUGAGGUGUAAGCAUAGUACUGGCUGCUAUGGAAAAAGUUACAUAAACAUUCAUGUAUCUUGUGAUGAUUGUUUUGUCUACAACUUCACUCUUUGCAGACAUCAAGACUGUUGAAAUGAGGGGAAGGGAUCUGAAUUCCCAAAAGAAUGUCAAAUGGGCAUGGAGGCUCAUGCCUAUAAUCCUUGCACUUUGGGUGGCUAAAGCAGAAGGAUCCCUGGAGGCCAGGAGUUCCAGACCAGUAUGGGCAACAAAAUGAGUCCCUGUGUCUACAGAAAAUAAAAUAAUUAACCAGGCAUGGUGUUGUGUGCCUGUAGUCCUAGCUACUUGGGAGGCUGAGGUGGGAGGAUCACUUGCGCCCUGGAUGUUGAAGCUGCAGCGCGCUGUGAUCAUUGCCACCACACUCCAGCCUGGGCAACACAGCAAAAACCUGUCUCUAAAAAAACCUAGAAUAUCUUUGUGCUAUGCAAAUCCUAAUUUGAAAAAUUUGUCAUUAAAUUCUCUCCAAACAUUC